CACGAGCCUUUUGAGUAUGCAGAACACAUCGGCUCAGCCUAAAGCUGGCAGUUGGUGCACACACACACACACACACAUCGCUUUCCCCUCAAGUGAAGCGGCAUGAGCAUGAGCAAUCGCAGUAUCUCCUGUUUCCGGAGCUGAGACCGGCAGCCUCUGCCUGAUUUAUUGAAGGAGCAAGAGGAUCCCAGUUUCCGCGCUAACACGCAGCUGUCACAUCUAGUUGGAGACAGCCACUUCUUCCCAGCUGUUUACCUGCUCUGGCAAGAAGGCACCCUAUUCCAAAAGCGAGUAGGCUGGAGGAGGAGUCUGCAUGGUGCUUGCUGCAGGAUUCUUCACAACCCACAAAUAUGUUGCCUGAGAGAUUGCUGAAGCUAUUUGCCAUUUUAUGCAGGUGUGUGUCCUAAAAAUGUUUUUAAUUUAGCUUUUAUACAUAUUUAUUGUGCACGUAUGUAUAUGAAUGUGUUUUGUUUGUAUUGGGGUGAUAUACCAAUUGGAAAGAAAUAUAAAGUGAUUUAUUUUUGUCUUAAGAUUAAGUAUGUCUUAUUACAGUCCUCAUUUGAAGAGAGAUUUUUAGAGUUCAUUACCUCAGUCCACUUCAUGGAUAUAUAACAUAUAAAGGCAACUUUAAGACAUUCACACACACACACACACACACACACACACACACACACACACACACACUAAGUUCUAAGAACUCAGCAGUGAAAGAGACUACAGCAAUAAUAUUUACAAAUGCAUUUUUUACUUUUGAAGCCAGGUCAUUUCUCUGAGGCCUUAGCAUUGACAUAGGCUAGGAAUGGACUAAUCAGUCUACAAAGAUUUUCAAUCAUUCAUAGAUAAAGUAUGUUCACCAAUAACAAUUAUAUGCAUUUUAUAGUAUCAGCUGAAACAUUGUAAACUAAGUCAUAUAGUGCCAGGUAAAAUGGAUUUUUCAUUCUAAUUAUUCAUUUUCCUUUCUUUACCUGUCAGUUUUUUUUCAUUUCUAAAUACUGGAGGAGAAAUACAAUAUCUUACAAUAUGAUAAUGAUAAAUACAUAUCAAUUGUGAGAGGUAAUUCAUUACUAAAGGCUAAGUAUAUAGUAUUUUUGUAAGAGAUUACUAAAGAUGAUUGUUGUGGGAAUUUUAAGGUUUAUCACAGGCUCAAACUUUGAUAUUGCUCCCUAAUUAGUGGCACAGUUUGGGGAUGGGAGAUAGCCAUACCUGAUAGUAAUAGAACUGUCUGGGCAAGUUGUUUCUGUUCCCAGUUCCUGCUCACUUGUUAAUUGUUAUUAAAGGGAUCUACUGCCACAAACUCAUUAGACCAUGCUGAUCCACUAUGCUAUUCUUUCCACAGUGGCCAGAAACCUUGUAAAACCAUUAUGCAAAACUAUUCCUUUAUCAUUAAGAUCUCAUUGUCACUAUUCUGGCCAUGACAAUACAAACUUAAAUAAUCCAACCCUGAAUUUAGAAUUUAAAAUAUGAAUACUAGACCUAGCCAUUAUAACAAUUUUUAAAUAUUUCUGUAUAUUGGAUGUCAUAUAUAAUAAAUAAACCAAUUGUCUAUAACUGUAGGUCCUGAAAGUUUCUACAUAGAUUUCAGAUACAGCACAGUAAUGUUAAAGGACAGUAAUUAGGUGUUUCUUUUAAGACCUGUGAAACUAGAAUAGGAAUACUUUUCACAUCUUAAUGUUUGGCAGAAAGCAGUGCCUCAGCUCAUGGUCAAAGCAUCCAUUUGAGGAAAAUAUUUACUACAUGGUUAUGAGUCUACGAAACUGAUACGGCCCUGAAGAUAACAUUUACUAUUUGCAAGAGAGACCACAUAUCAGCCAAGUAGUUGUGAAAAUGCAAUCUAUCUUUUUUUCUUUUUAUAGUUAUUUAUUUAUUUAUUUAUUUUAAGGGAUCAUUAUCUUUUUUUUAAAAAAAGGAUAUUUUCUUUAUUUACAUUUCAAAUGUUAUCCCCUUUACUAGUUUCGCCUCCAACCCCACCCCCCAUCCCUUUCCAACUUCCCCUGCUCACCAACCCUCGCACUCCCACUUCCUGGUCCUGGUGUUCCCCUAAACUGGGGUAUCAAGCCUUGACAGAACCAAGAGCCUCUCCUUCCAUUGAUGACCAACAAGGCCAUACUCUACUACAUAUGUGGCUGGAGAGAUGGGUCCCACUGUGUACUCUUUGGUUGGUAGUUUAGUCCCUCGGAGCAUUGGAGUUACUGGUUGGUUCAUAUUGUUCCUUCUACGAAGUUGAAAACGUGUUCAGCUCCUUGAGUCCUUUCUCUAGCUCCUCCAUUGAGGACUCUGUGAUCAGUACAAUGGAUGUCUGUGAGCAUCCACUUCUGUAUUUGUCAGGCACUGGCAGAGCUUCUCAGGAGACAGCUACAUCAGGCUUCUGUCAGCAAGCACUUGUUGGCAUCCACACUAGUGUCUGGGUUUGGUGACUGUAUACGGGACAGAUUCUCAGGUGGGGCAUUCUCUGAUGGCCUUUCCAUCUGUCCCUACUCCACAACUUUUCUCUGGAUCCCCACCCAUGAGUAUUUUGUUCCCCCUUCUAAGAAGCACCAAAGUAUCUUCACUUUGGACUUCUUCCUACUUGAGCUUCAUGUGGUCUGUGAAUUGUAUCUUGGGUAUUCUGAGCUUCUGGGCUUAUCUCUACUUAUCAGUGAGUGCAUACCAUGUGAGUUCUUUUGUGAUUGGGUUUUCUCACUCAGGAAGAUAUUCUCCAGAACCAUCCAUUUGCUUAAGAAUUUCAUAAUUUAUUGUUUUUAAUAGCUGAGUAGUACUACAUUGUGCAAAUAUACUACAUUUUCUGUAUCCAUUCCUCUGUUGAGUGACAUUUGGGUUCUUUCCAGUUUCUGGCUAUUAUAAAUAAGGGUGCUAUGAACAUAGUGGAACAUGUGUCCUUAUUACAUGUUGGAGCAUCUUCUGGGUAUAUGCUCAGGAGUGGCAUUGCUGGGUCCUCAGGUAGUACUGUCUGUUGCUGGUGGGAUUGCAGGCUGGUACAACUACUCUGGAAAUCAGUUUAACAGUUCCUCAGACAACUGGACAUAUUUAUUUAUUUUUUAUGCUUCAGAUUUUAUUCCUCUCCCAGUCCACCCUCUGACUGUUCUACAUCCCAUACCUCCUCCCUACCUUCUGUUCCAUGAAAUGUCCUCAUCCCCCUCUACCCCACCAUAUUUCUAAACUCCCUGGGGCCUCCAGUCUCUUAAGGGUUAGGUGCAUCUUCUCUGACUGAACGCAGAUCCUGUAUUUGUGUCAGGGGCCUAAUAUCAGCUGGUAUUUUCUGCUUGGGUAGUGGUCAAGUUUUUGAGAGAUCCCAAGAUUCCAGGUUAAUUGAGACUGCUGGUCUUCCUACAGGGUUUCCCUCCUCCUCAGCUUCUUCCAGCUUUCCCCUAAUUCAAGUACAGGGGUCAACAGCUUCUGUCCAUUGGUUGGAUGCGAAUAUCUACAUCUGACUCUUUCAGCUGUUUAUUAGGUCUUUCAGAGGUCACACUUGUAAGUGCUCCAUAGCCUCAGAAAUACUGUCAGGCUUUGGAACCUCCCAUUGAGCUGGAUCCCACUCUGGGCCUGUUUUUGGACCUUCUUUUCCUCAGAUUCCUCUCCAUUUCCUUCUAUGCAGUUCUUUGAGACAGGAACAAUUAUGAGUCAGAGUUUUGACUGUUGGAUGGCAACCUCUCCCUCACUUGAUGCCCUGUCUUUCUGCGGGAGGUGGGCUCUAUAAGUUCCAUCUCGCUACUUUUGGGCAUUUCCUCUAAAGUUUCCCUCUUUGAGUCUUGAGAGUCUCUCAUCUCCCAGGACUCUGGUGCUUUCUGGAGGGUUCUCCCAAAUUCCUACAACCCGAGGUUGCCUGUUUCCAUUAUUUCUGCUAGCCCACACAGCUUUAGUCUUUUUCUCUCAGCCAGUACCAGAUCAGGUUCCCCUCUCCCUGCCAACCCCCUAUCCACUUUCCCCUCCAGGUUCCGCUCCCCCAAUUGUGAUUGCUUUCUUCUCUCUCCAAACUGGGUCUGAGGCAUCCUCACUUUGACCCUUCAGUUUGUUGACCUUUCUGAGUUCUGUGAACUGUAUCUUGGGUAUUCUGGAUAAUACACUUAUUAGUGAGUACAUACCAUGCAUACCAUGCAUGUCCUUUUGAGUCUGAGUUACCCCACUCAGUAUGACAAUUUUCAGAUCCAUCCAUUUGCCUGCAAAACUCAUGAUAUCCUCUUUCUUAAUAGCUGAAUACUAUUGUUGAGGUCCUUGAUCCACUUGGACUUGAGCUUUGUGCCAGGUGACAAAUAUGGGCCUAUUUUCAUUUUUCUACAUACUGAUAGCCAGUUAGACAAGCACCAUUUAUUGAAGAUGCUUUGUUUUUUCCAUUGUAUAUUUUUGGCUUCUUUGUCAGAGAUCAAGUGUCUUUAAGUGUAUGGCCUUAUUUCUGGGUCUUUAAUUCUAUUCCAUUGAUCAACAUGUUUCUCUCUGUACCAAUACCAUGCAGGGUUUUUUUUUUUUUUUUUUUUUUUUCACUAUUGAUCUGUAAAGUUGAGGUCAGGGAUGGUUAUUUCCCCAGCCUUUCUUUUGUUGUUUUUUAAGAAUUGUCUUCUCUAUUCUGAUUUUUUGUUUGUUUGUUUGUUUGUUUGCCUUUCCAAAUGACUUUGAAGAAUUGUGUUGGAAUUUUGAUGGGGAUUGCAUUGAAUAUAUAGAUUUCCUUCAGUAGGAUGGCCAUUUUUACUAUAUUAAUUCUGCCAAUCCAUGAACAUGGGAGAAGUCUCCAUUUUCUGAGAUCUCUGGUUUCUUUCUUGAGAGAUUUGGAGUUAUUGUCAUACAGGUCUUUCACUUGUUUUCUUAGAGUUACCCCAACAUAUUUUAUAUUAUUUUUGGCUAUUGUGAAAAGAGUUUUUUCCCUUAUUUCUUUCUCAGCCCAUUUAUCAUUUGUAUACAGGAAGAAUAUUGACUUUUUUGAGUUAAUUUUAGUGGGAUUUCAUCAUGUAUCUCUCCAUUUAAUUGGAUAUUGGCUGUUGGUUGCAGUGAAAACUUAGUCUUUUCAUAUAAUUCAUAAUUAAGAUAUUUUUCAAGUGUUAGAAAAUGUUAAAUAAAUGUUUAUAAUGCUUUCCUUAACAUAAUUUUAUUUUCAAUGAUUAACUCU
rnacentral:lncRNA from 1 species